CAGGAAGUAGCCAGGAGACAGGACAUGAGAGAUCGAUUACAUUUCUGCUCGAGAGCCGACUUGCAGCGCAAGAUUCUUUGUCAUUAAGCUGUGUUUGACUGUAGAAGCUCAAUUGGCCAGGCUUCUCUUUUUGAUGGCGAGCUAAGGAAAAUAAACACCUAGUCCAAGGAUCAAGUUUGGAAGAUUCCAGCCAGGAACCUCACCACCUGCUCUAUCUGGGCUGGUAGGAGGCUCUCAAGCCGACCCUUUACAAUUGUCACUUUACCUGCAGCACAUGGACUGGACUGCCAUCUUUUUUCCCCCAAGAACAACUAUUUAAACUGAGAUUUAAACAAGAUCCAGAGACACUGAAUAGUUAAAUGAAAUUGUAUAUAUGUAUAUAGUACUUGUGUUUUUCUCUUUAAAUUACUUUCAUAUUGAAUGGCCAUUCAACUCAUUGUGUGUGUAUAUAUCUGCUGUCCAUCACUAAUUCUUUAAUACACGGUGUCAACCAAACUACAAUUCAAGCUUUGCCUCUCUCUACGAGUUGAAACUAGUCUUCUGUUCCUAGCCCAUAACACCCCAUAUAUAUAUUUAUUGCAUUGAUUUGUAGCACGUAUAGGUUACAUGAUGUAACACAGUGGUGAACAUGCCCUUUCCCAACUACUUUGGCACGUGUUGCAGCCAUGAAAUUCUAAGUUAAUUAUUAUUUGCAAAAAAAAAUAAAGUUUAUGAGU